rnacentral:lncRNA from 1 species
CUUGUUUGUGUCCUGUUAAGAUGGCCACGAUGCCUCACCAGAAACACAAAUCCCUGUUACUGGUGGUAGACCUAGCUGUAAAACACUCUUCUGGCAGGAAACUAAUGUAUCCUAAUGAUGAUUUCCAGGAGAUUAAGCUUCCUUUCUGUCUGCUGUUAGACUGGAGGAGAGCAGGAACUGCUAUCUUCUCUGGAGAGCCAGAGGAGCAGAACCCAUUUUGGCCAUGCACUGUCUGGAGGAUGCACAAUGCAGCUAGAGCAGUUACCAAGUCUGCAAAUAUUGGACAAAUUCCAACCUGCAGGUGCAUGAGGAUUGAUUUUUGACUGGAUACUUAGAGGGGAAAUAAAUGACACUUUUGUAACCC